GAGAGAGAGAGAGAGAAUGUGACCGAGUGAAGGAGAGGGACUGACAUGGUCGGCAAGCCAAAUGAGUGUCCAUGUGAAAGAGGACCAUGUGAAAUACUUCAGAAUACUGUUUAUCUGGCUGAUACCCCCGAACUCAGCAAAAGGAGUUCUCACGUCUUGGGCAGACUGCCUGCGUUGCGUGUGAAAUGUCUUCAUCCCAAAAUACGUGACAGUGUCUUGAGCUGGUGUUAACCACAGACCUUGUUCCAGCCAUUUAACCAAAACCCAUUCAAGAAAUCCGUUGAAUUUGGGACGAGGAUGAAACCGGAAGUGUCAAAAUUCCAAAGUGCUAAAACUCAUGUCUGCGUUUUGGCCUACAAAUUUAUGUCAUGCCACCAAGCAUAACCCAAUGGAGGCAUUGCCUCCUCUCAUGUGACUUUACCUCAUCAUUUUCAAUUACCCCGGGCCCUCAACCAAACUCAUUGCAUGAUUUAAGGCAGGAGUUCUCAACUGUGCAUUGUCUGUGCAUUGGCAAAAGCAACGUAUAUGAUGCCUUGGGAUGAG